rnacentral:lncRNA from 1 species
CUGGUCUCCGCUUCACAAGCUUCUUCAGUAGUCCAAAAAGAACAUCUGUGUGGAUUGUCCUCUCAUGAGCUUCAUCAAGCAUGACCACAGAAUACUGAGAAAGGUUCUCAUCAAUCAAAAUCUCCCUAAGAAGCAUACCAUCAGUCAUGUACUUGAUGACAGUGUCUGGACCAGUGCAAUCCUCAAAACGAAUUGCAUAGCCGACUUCCUCUCCUAAACGACAACCAAACUCUUCAGCAACCCUCUUGGCCACAGACAUAGCAGCCACCCUACGUGGCUGUGUACAACCAAUCUUACCCAUUGUCGUGUAACCCGCUUCUGCAAGAUACUGCGUUACCUGUGUUGUCUUACCCGAACCAGUCUCACCAAUGACGACAAGCACUUGGUUCUCAUGCACCGCUGCAAUCAAUUCUUUCUUCAGCUUGUAGAUAGGCAAGCUCUGCCUCUGUUCCUGGAUUGAGAGUUUUGACCUCUGCCCAAAACUGAUAGUUUUCCCAAAAGCAUCCUUCUUCCACUCAGGCAUAUCAUAUGCUGACAAACCAACACCUCUAAGUUCUUGUGCAAGAUGCCUCUCACCAGUCUCUGGCAUUGGAUCUUCCCAGGGACGAUUGAGAUCCUUUGGGAUAGAAUCCAACAUGGUUCUUUGCUGCUGCUCACGCACUUCUCUACGCUCCUUAAUGAGUGCGGACUGAAGUGCAGCUGCACGACCCAGUGACCCUUCUGGAUUCUUAAAGAUUUUCACAGGUGACAUAUCAACAGAAUACCUGCUCUGUCCAUUUAAAAAGGCUGGCUCGUCCUCAUUGAGCUCAAUCUCAAGCUCUUCCUCAGCUCCCUCUUCUUGAUAAAGCAUCCCAUCGGUUUCCUCAUCAUACAUAGGAUACUCUGUAACACCCAAAACACCUGAGGCAAUCAACUGUUUGGCUUCCCACUUCUCUGGCGAGCUCAU